AUGUAUGUGUUUAUUAAUACACAAAACAACAACACGUGUUUUGGGGGGGGACAACAAGAUGACAACAAGAUGGCCGAACUCAGUCCCGUGUCGCUCUUUCAGAUUUAUCAGCAACCGGAGAAAGACUCGCUCUGGCUCAUGGGCAGCCUGGGCAGCCUGAGUACGAGUCCAGGCAGCCAGUGGAGCGAGUCGUCCUCAGGUAAAUGUACACACUAUGUUACACACUACACGCAGUACACACAGUACACAGUACACACACUACACACAGUACACAGUACACACACUACACACAGUACACAGUACACACACUACACACACUACACACACUACACAGUACACACACUACACACAGUACACAGUACACACACUACACACAGUACACAGUACACACACUACACACAGUACACAGUACACACACUACACACAGUACACAGUACACACACUACACACACUACACAGUACACACACUACACACAGUACACAGUACACACACUACACACACUACACAGUACACACACUACACACAGUACACACACUACACACAGUACACACACUACACACAGUACACAGUACACACACUACACACACUACACAGUACACACACUACACACACUACACACAGUACACACACUACACACAGUACACACACUACACACACUACACACAGUACACAGUACACACACUACACACAGUACACAGUACACACACUACACACAGUACACAGUACACACACUACACACACUACACAGUACACACACUACACACAGUACACACACUACACACAGUACACACACUACACACACUACACACAGUACACACACUACACACACUACACACACUACACACAGUACACACACUACACACAGUACACACUACACACAGUACACACAGUACACACUACACACAGUACACACUACACACAGUACACACUACACACUACACACAGUACACACUACACACAGUACACACAGUACACACUACACACAGUACACACUACACACAGUACACAGUACACACACUACACACAGUACACACUACACACAGUACACACUACACACAGUACACACACUACACAGACUACACACAGUACACACAGUACACACUACACACAGUACACACACUACACAGUACACACAGUACACACAGUACACACACUACACACACUACACACAGUACACACAGUACACACACACACACAGUACACACACUACACACACUACACACAGUACACACACUACACACAGUACACACACUACACACACUACACACAGUACACACAGUACACACUACACACAGUACACACACUACACAGUACACACAGUACACACAGUACACACACUACACACACUACACACAGUACACACAGUACACACACACACACAGUACACACACUACACACACUACACACAGUACACACACUACACACAGUACACACACUACACACACUACACACAGUACACACACUACACACAGUACACACAGUACACACACACACAGUACACACAGUACACACAGUACACACACUACACACACUACACACAGUACACACACUACACACACACACACAGUACACACACUACACACAGUACACACACUACACACACUACACACAGUACACACACUACACACAGUACACACAGUACACACACACACACAGUACACACAGUACACACAGUACACACACUACACACACUACACACACUACACACACACACACAGUACACACACUACACACAGUACACACACUACACACAGUACACACACUACACACACUACACACAGUACACACAGUACACACACACACACAGUCUGGCACUGGCUCCUACAUUUCCCAGAAUGCAGCAGAGUCCAAGUUCCUGA
ensembl:lncRNA